CCGAAUUCAGAAAAGCUCCAAAAUACUUGACACAUUUCUUCCAAGGCGCCAGUGGAAUUAGCGAAUGAUUCAGCAAAUGUGUUUUAUGAUUCCUGGAAACAAGCAGAGAAUGACUGCAAGCUGAAACUGAAAGACCCUGAUGUAGUUUUAUGGCAAUUAGAUGGGGGAUAAAUGAAGCUGGAGUGGGCUCAAGGCUCAACUAAGUUAAAGAAGAGGCAUUUAAGAGACAAUUUUGCUGAUAACAGAGAAGGAACAUGACAAAGGAAAAUACCGAAGUGGAGCAAGAAAGAAGGCGAGGAAGCUGGCUGCUGUAAGAAUUCACACCUCAGCCGGAAGGAGCUGCUGCAGGAAGGCUCCCCUGCCAUUUUAUAGGUCUUCACUUGAACUGA